rnacentral:rRNA from 1 species
CGAACGGGUGAGUAAUGCGUGACCAACCUGCCCCAUGCUCCAGAAUAGCUCUUGGAAACGGGUGGUAAUGCUGGAUGCUCCAACUUGGCGCAUGUCUUGUUGGGAAAGUGUUUAGUGGCAUGGGAUGGGGUCGCGUCCUAUCAGCUUGUAGGCGGGGUAAUGGCCCACCUAGGCUUCGACGGGUAGCCGGCCUGAGAGGGCGGACGGCCACAUUGGGACUGAGAUACGGCCCAGACUCCUACGGGAGGCAGCAGCC